rnacentral:rRNA from 1 species
GGUCAGGAUGAACGCUAGCUACAGGCUUAACACAUGCAAGUCGAGGGGUAGCAGGGUAGCAAUACCGCUGACGACCGGCGCACGGGUGAGUAACACGUAUCCAACCUUCCCAUAACUCAGGGAUAGCCUUUCGAAAGAAAGAUUAAUACCUGAUAGUACUUUUUCAAGGCAUCUUGAGAAAGUUAAAGAUUUAUUGGUUAUGGAUGGGGAUGCGUUCCAUUAGAUAGUUGGUGAGGUAACGGCUCACCAAGUCUUCGAUGGAUAGGGGUUCUGAGAGGAAGGUCCCCCACAUUGGUACUGAGACACGGACCAAACUCCUACGGGAGGCAGCAGUGAGGAAUAUUGGUCAAUGGGCGAGAGCCUGAACCAGCCAAGUAGCGUGAAGGAUGAAGGUCCUAUGGAUUGUAAACUUCUUUUAUAGUAGAAUAAAGUGAUCCACGUGUGGAUUUUUGUAUGUAUACUAUGAAUAAGGAUCGGCUAACUCCGUGCCAGCCGCAGC